AACGAACGCUGGCGGCAUGCCUAACACAUGCAAGUCGAACGAGACCUUCGGGUCUAGUGGCGCACGGGUGCGUAACGCGUGGGAACCUGCCCUUAGGUUCGGAAUAACUCCCCGAAAGGGGUGCUAAUACCGGAUAAUGUCUUCGGACCAAAGAUUUAUCGCCUUUGGAUGGGCCGGCGUUGGAUUAGCUAGUUGGUAGGGUAAAAGCCUACCAAGGCGACGAUCCAUAGCUGGUCUGAGAGGAUGAUCAGCGACACUGGGACUGAGACACGGCCGAGACUCCUACGGAAGGCAGGAGUGGGGAAUAUUGGACAGUGGGCGAAAGGCUGAUCCAGCAAUGCCGCGUGAGUUAUGAAGGCCGUAGGGUUGUAAAGCUCUUUUACCCGGGAUGGUAAUGACGGUACCGGGAGAAUAAGCUCCGGCUAACUCCGUG
rnacentral:rRNA from 1 species